UUGCUUAAAGUGCAUAUGACACGAAAAUUUUUAUUCGCCCCCAUCACGUAAUCGAGUAUGCUGAUCACGAAAAUCACCAUAAAAUUUUCGAAAAACAAACACUUUCGUAAUUACAGCUGUUUCAAGGUCGAUUUUUGCUUCAAAUUCUGUCAUAAGGGAUUGGGUCGAGUUUGACAGGAAGUGACGUAAAGUGGUUGUGUUAGCGAAAAUUUAGAUUGCUAACUAACAAGAAGUUAUACGGCGGAGUUUUACUUGAGAGUCUAUGAACAUGUCUCACGGCAAAUAUUCAAGCUCGAGGGCGUCAGCUUUUGACGAAAGUGAAGGGGAAUAGCUUUUGAUGCUGAUGGGCUAUUUUUGCCUUGCAAGAACGAACCAGUCUUUUUUCUGCGGAUAAUUCAGACGCGGAACCAGGCAUAGCUGGCAUGGCUCGAAGCUUUCAUGACCGGGCAGAGGACGAAGAUGGAAUACAAAAAUCCCAACAGCGUGAUCGAUGGCGAGGAAAUAUUACUUUGAGUCAAUGAUAUCUCUCUGCAAUGGCAUACAGUCUUGGUGUCUGUCAGAGACAAACGUAGAUACUUCAAUUCCAGAACUUCUGAGAGAUUCAAAACCUUGUUGAUGCCAAAGCAACUCCAUCUGUGCAGAGCUUCCGUUAACGCUGCUUGCCUGUGAAGAACAAGGAACACAAAUUUCAAUGUUUACAUUUAACAACAAACAUGAUCCAAGAUUAAUUUUUUGGUCUUUGACCAAGGCUGACCAGGUCAAAGACCACCAUUUCUGUUAUACAGAAACGACUGAGUCCGUGAUUUAAUUGAAAGUUUUUAUAUCAUGUUUUGUUACUUGGUGACUUCUGUUUAUUGUUAAUCGAUUCUCACUUGCAUCUUGAAUCUUUAUCCCAUAGAAUAUCAUUUCCCUGCUUCUUAAAUAUUUCUUGAAUUGCCAACCCCCUGCUUUUUUAGUUUCCAAAACCUUUUUCGCUUUUGUAUAAAAUAUUGAAGUAGUUUACAUUUGUUUAAAUGGUUUAUUUUUAUGUAUUAAAAACGGUGAUAUGGACUCCACACAGAGAGACAAGGAGUCCCUUUUUUCCAUAAAGCGAGUGCCCCCGGUGUUGUCGAGUCAUUACCAAUAACGUAUCUCAGCUGUUACACAAUAGAACGUUGUUAGGCAGUUAUAAAAAAACAAUAGGAAACUUAUUACUCA